CACAAGCGGUGGAGCAUGUGGUUAAUUCGAAGCAACGCGAAGAACCUUACCAGGUCUUGACAUCCCGAUGCUAUUUCUAGAGAUAGAAAGUUACUUCGGUACAUCGGCGACAGGUGGUGCAUGGUUGUCGUCAGCUCGUGUCGUGAGAUGUUGGGUUAAGUCCCGCAACGAGCGCAACCCCUAUUGUUAGUUGCCAUCAUUCAGUUGGGCACUCUAGCGAGACUGCCGGUAAUAAACCGGAGGAAGGUGGGGAUGACGUCAAAUCAUCAUGCCCCUUAUGACCUGGGCUACACACGUGCUACAAUGGUUGGUACAACGAGUUGCGAGUCGGUGACGGCGAGCUAAUCUCUUAAAGCCAAUCUCAGUUCGGAUUGUAGGCUGCAACUCGCCUACAUGAAGUCGGAAUCGCUAGUAAUCGCGGAUCAGCACGCCGCGGUCGAAUACGUUCCCGGGCCUU
rnacentral:rRNA from 1 species